rnacentral:lncRNA from 1 species
AUUGAAAGAGUGAAAAUCUUAAGAUAAUAAGUGAAGAAUUCACUCUUGUAUGAACUUGAAAGUCAACCUAUUUUCUUUACUAUUUUACAAUCAUCUAUUUAGCACCUAACACAAUAGUCGAAAAUGAAGAGAUUCCUAACUAAUGGGUUGAAAUUGAGUCAGAGCCACAUUCAUAACCCAUAACAAGGCUAUCGUGAACUUGUCAAACAUGAAUCAAACAUGCACAUAAGUUAACAACCAUGUGUAAAAAUAGAAGAAGUCUUCAAGUGACCCAUCCCAACCUUGAGAGAGUCAAUGGUCUAGCAUCAACGAAUGAAAAUUACUUCUUUCGUGGCGCUAGGAUAAAAAAUGUCCACGUUGGCAACAAAUGAACGCAACACCGAAAACCACCACUUUGGAAACUAUUCCUGAACAUGGUGUCGACCUUCUCGUAGGAUUCAACUCUCUUCCGCCUUCUCAGCUACCUCUUCAACAACAAGAUCAUGGGUUUCAUCGACCCUCUCAGCAGAAUUUGCAACAUCUUCCAUCCGCUUCUUUGGAACUGACGGAACACUCUGCAAAGAUCUCGACCUAGAACUAGCAUCUGACAAUAACACGACUCUUGCAUCAAAAUCAUGACUGUUUUAGUUUGAAAACCCUGAAAACAUUCUGAAAAUGAAAACAGAGCUAGAGAGAGACAUCAUUACUUCAAAAAAAACUUCUUAGCAUCUCAGCCUUUCGGAAAUAGUCCCCACACUCUUAAGAACCUGAUAAGCCUUAACAUAAUACAGUUUCUUGACCUCUCAGCAAUAUUGGCUCGAUGGACACCAAUCAAUCCUCUUUCGCAUCACCUCGAUCUAAAACUAAAUUGACUAUUCACACUGAAUUGUCCGAACAACGAACCAUCGAAGCAAGAACUUAAUUAAAGAUUUUAAUCAAGGAUCAAAAUGCUAAAUAAGUUGUAAGCAUGUGUUAACAAGAGGACUUGGCCUAAACGAUGCCCAUAACAGUGAAGGUCAUCACAAAAUAGUAUAAAUAGGUGGUAAGGAGACAGGUAAGAUGUAAGUUCAAUAUUAUUUAUAACACAUUAAUAUACUACACUAACUUGAUCGUCAUAAUAUUUUUGCAGAUACCCUCCUUCUGUGAACAUACCAAGACCUAAAAGAUCGAGAGGAAGAGACCA